UGAUGAUGAUGAUGGACACCUAACCACUGGUCGCAGCCGACGGGUGCGAUACUAUUAUGCCCCUGCAAAUGAUGUUAGUUAUUUUGCCUGUCGGUUUCCCGUAGCUUUCUACAUAUGAACGUUUUGUGGUCGGUGUAAACCCGAGAUUGAUUAAAAUCGGGCGAUCGGGGGAGGUGGGAAAAAUCGGUCGCUCCCUCUUCCCGCAUGCGCGCGCUCCCCUCUCCUCAUCUGGACCCACCCACUUAUCCCUCCCCUUGUUCCACAAAAAUGUUUCACCAAGUGUACUUAUAAUGGAAUUUGGUUUAUUUUUUGUUCCACUG
rnacentral:sRNA from 1 species